UACGGAGGGUGCAAGCGUUGUUCGGAAUUACUGGGCGUAAAGCGCGUGUAGGCGGUCGGGCAAGUCAGAUGUGAAAGCCUUCCGCUUAACGGAAGAAGUGCAUUUGAAACUACCCGGCUGGAGUACGGGAGAGGAGAGUGGAAUUCCCGGUGUAGAGGUGAAAUUCGUAGAUAUCGGGAGGAACACCAGUGGCGAAGGCGGCUCUCUGGUCCGAUACUGACGCUGAGACGCGAAAGCGUGGGGAGCAAACAGG
rnacentral:rRNA from 1 species